rnacentral:rRNA from 1 species
UUUUGCGACCAUACCAGCACUAAUUCACGGGAUCCCAUCAGAACUCCGCAGCUAAGCGUGUUUGAACGAGAACAGUACUAAAAUGGGUGAUCUCUUGGGAAGUUCUCUUGUUGCACCUC